UACGUAGGGGGCAAGCGUUGUCCGGAAUCAUUGGGCGUAAAGCGCGCGUAGGCGGCCCGGUCAGUCCGCUCUGAAAGUCCAGGGCUCAACCCUGGAAUGCGGGUGGAUACUGCCGGGCUAGAGUCCGGAAGAGGCGAGUGGAAUUCCUGGUGUAGCGGUGGAAUGCGCAGAUAUCAGGAGGAACACCGAUAGCGAAAGCACUCUGCUGGGCCGACACUGACACUGAGAGACGAAAGCUAGGGGAGCAAAUGGG
rnacentral:rRNA from 1 species